UUCCAGACUCCUACGGGAGGCAGCAGUGAGGAAUAUUGGUCAAUGGCCGAGAGGCUGAACCAGCCAAGUCGCGUGAGGGAUGACGGCCCUACGGGUUGUAAACCUCUUUUGCCGGGGAGCAAAGAGCGGGACGCGUCCCGCCUCGAGAGUACCCGGAGAAAAAGCAUCGGCUAACUCCGUGCCAGCAGCCGCGGUAAUACGGAGGAUGCGAGCGUUAUCCGGAUUUAUUGGGUUUAAAGGGUGCGUAGGCGGGCUUUUAAGUCAGCGGUAAAAAUUCGGGGCUCAACCCCGUCCGGCCGUUGAAACUGGGGGCCUUGAGUGGGCGAGAAGAAGGCGGAAUGCGUGGUGUAGCGGUGAAAUGCAUAGAUAUCACGCAGAACCCCGAUUGCGAAGGCAGCCUUCCGGCGCCCUACUGACGCUGAGGCACGAAAGUGCGGGGAUCGAACAGGAUUAGAUACCCGGGUAAG
rnacentral:rRNA from 1 species